rnacentral:tRNA from 4 species
GUGGCCGUAGCUCAGCUGGUAGAGCAUCAGUUUGUGGUACUGAGGGUCGCGGGUUCGAAACCCGUCGGUCACCCCA